UACGUAGGGUACGAGCGUUGUCCGGAAUUAUUGGGCGUAAAGAGCUCGUAGGUGGUUGGUCACGUCUGCUGUGGAAACGCAAGGCUCAACCUUGCGCGUGCAGCGGGUACGGGCGUAACUAGAGUGCAGUAGGGGAGUCUGGAAUUCCUGGUGUAGCGGUGAAAUGCGCAGAUAUCAGGAGGAACACCGAUGGCGAAGGCAGAUCUCUGGGCCGUAACUGACGCUGAGGAGCGAAAGCAUGGGGAGCGAACAGG
rnacentral:rRNA from 1 species